CAGUCGCCGCGGUAAUACGAAGGGUGCAAGCGUUACUCGGAAUUACUGGGCGUAAAGCGUGCGUAGAUGGUGGUUUAAGUCCGUUGUGAAAGCCCUGGGCUCAACCUGGGAAUUGCAGUGGAUACUGGGUCACUAGAGUGUGGUAGAGGAUAGUGGAAUUUCCGGUGAAGCAGUGAAAUGCGUAGAGAUCGGAAGGAACAUCUGUGGCGAAGGCGACUAUCUGGGCCAACACUGACACUGAGGCACGAAAGCGUGGGGAGCAAACAGGAUUAGAUACCCCGGUAGUCCCUGUCUCUUAUAC
rnacentral:rRNA from 1 species